CAGGAGAGGGGCCAUGAAGGGAAUGCCUUUGGGGGAGGAGGCUUUAAUUUGAACUCAAACCUUGUUUCCAGAAAGAGAGUUCUUGAGAGAAAAAGGCGCUAUCAUUUUGACACAGAUGGGAAGGGCUCCAUGCACGGUCGGAGAGGUGGUGCAAGGAAGCGGCCCUUUGAGCGCAGCGAGUACAUACUUAUGGCAGACUUCGGGGAGAUUCAGCAAAGCAAAAGAAAAGAAAUUCAUCCAUAUUCCUGACACCCAACAACCAUUGCUGUUGACACCUUGACCUGUGCACAGUCUGAUGACUGCGGUGUUUGUGAUGAGUAUGCAGAGGGUCAAAGAUGGGAAGAGACACAGAAAGCAGUGAGGAAGUGGUGUGUGGUCAUUGUGGGAUUACAGUUAAGUAUUUUGUCUCGGUUACCUGGGACAGGCUUUCUCACAGUGUUUUGGGAACCUACCUUUAUUACAUGUAUUUCCAUUAUAAACACGGUAUGUGUUCAUUACAGAGACUUGGAAGUUACAGAAGUGUAGAAGAGAAACUCGCCCAUAUUAUCAUCAUCCAAAGACUGUGGUUAACAUCUUCAUAUAUUUUCUUCAUCUUGUUUCUGUGCACAGGUUUUUGGUUUGUUAAUAUGGUUGUGGUCGUUCUAUCUAUCUGUAAUAGUGUCAACAAUAAAAAUAAAGUUAAAAAUAA